CUGCAAAGCCGUCUGGUUGGAGUGGAAAACGAUAGAAAAGACUCCAGCGAUGCGUUAAUGGAGGCUAAAGUUCAGGUUGAGGAACUGAGUAGCAGAUUAUCCUUUCUGGAAGUCAAAAUGCACAAUGAUCAUGUCAACAAUGGCAAAGACAUAGCAAAACUCAGAAUGAGGCUCCGAGGAACGCAAGCACAGUUAGAUGGCUUCCGAU